rnacentral:rRNA from 1 species
UCUGUGGACUGCAUGGAAGAGAGAAUGCCGGAAUGAGUAGCGAGAUAGAGGUGGGAAUCCUCUAGGCCGAAUAUCCAAGGUUUCCAGAGUAAAGCUGAUCUGCUCUGGGUAAGUCGGGGCCUAAGGCGAGGACGAGAGUCGUAGCCGAUGGACAACAGGUGGAGAUUCCUGUACUGCGGUAUGACAGAACUGUGGGGACACGUAAGGAAAGCGGAAGCCGGGAAUGGAAAGCCCGGUGCAAGCGGGGUACCAGUCACUUUGGCAAAUCCGGGUGGCAAUGGGAAGCCGUGAUGCGGAGCGAAAUAAAGUAGUGAAGUCCGUGAGCCAUGCGUCAAGAAAAGCCGCUAUUGUUUAUACCGUACCCGUACCGUAAACCGACACAGGUGGAUGAGGAGAGAAUCCUAAGGCCGGCGGAAGAAGCAUUGUCAAGGAACUCGGCAAAAUGGCCCCGUAACUUAGGGAUAAGGGGUGCCUGGGAAACCAGGCCGCAGAGAAUAGGCUCAAGCAACUGUUUAGCAAAACACAGGUCUAUGCGAAACCGAAAGGUGAGGUAUAUGGGCUGACGCCUGCCCGGUGCUGGAAGGUUAAGAGGAGAGGUUAGCGGUAACGCGAAGCUUUGAAUUUAAGCCCCAGUAAACGGCGGCCGUAACAAUAACGGUCCUAAGGUAGCGAAAUUCCUUGUCGGGUAAGUUCCGACCCGCACGAAAGGCGUAAUGAUUUGAGCGCUGUCUCGACAAUGCAUCCGGUGAAAUUGAAGUACCAGUGAAGAUGCUGGUUACCUGCGCCAGGACGGAAAGACCCCAUGGAGCUUUACUCCAGUCUGGUACUGGGACUCGGUAUUGCAUGUACAGGAUAGGUGGGAGGCUAGGAGAUGGUAACGCCAGUUGCCAUGGAGCCGCUGUUGGGAUACCACCCUUGCAGUAUUGGGUUUCUAACCAGCCGCCGUGACCCGGCGGUGGGACAAUGCCAGACGGGGAGUUUGACUGGGGCGGUCGCCUCCGAAAGGGUAUCGGAGGCGCCCAAAGGUUCCCUCAGAAUGGACGGAAACCAUUCGAAGAGUGCAAAGGCAGAAGGGAGCUUGACUGCGACACCGACGGGUGGAGCAGGUACGAAAGUAGGGCUUAGUGAUCCGGUGGUAUUAAGUGGGAAUGCCAUCGCUCAACGGAUAAAAGCUACCCUGGGAUAACAGGCUUAUCACUCCCAAGAGUUCACAUCGACGGAGUGGUUUGGCACCUCGAUGUCGGCUCAUCGCAUCCUGGGGCUGUAGUAGGUCCCAAGGGUUGGGCUGUUCGCCCAUUAAAGCGGUACGCGAGCUGGGUUCAGAACGUCGUGAGACAGUUCGGUCCCUAUCCGGCGUGGGCGUAGGAUAUCUGAGAGGAGCUGUCCUUAGUACGAGAGGACCGGGAUGGACGGGCCGCUGGUGCAUCGGUUAGACUGCCAAGUCUACGGCCGAGUAGCCAAGCCCGGAAGGGAUAAACGCUGAAGGCAUCUAAGCGUGAAGCCCCCCUUAAGAUGAGAUAUCCCAUUCGAAAGAAGUAAACCCCCUUGAAGACGACGAGGUAGAUAGGGCAGAGGUGGAAGUGCAGCAAUGCAUGGAGCUGACUGUUACUAAUCGGGUGAGGGCUUGAAC